rnacentral:lncRNA from 1 species
CCCGGCUUGACAGGCGCUGUCUCUGCGGGCACCGAGCUACACUCAUCCCGCUCGGCCUCCCAAUCGCGCCUCGGCCGCCGCCGUCCCGCUGCCCUUUUCUCAAGCCUUCCCUUCCCUAUGUUCCGGGACCGGAGUACGGGAAGCAAAGACCCUCUUGUCCAGUCCCCAUCAUGUCCGAAGUGACCAAAGAGCUGCUGGAGCUGGUGUGGGGCACCAAGAGCAGUCCCGGACUGUCGGACACCAUCUUCUGCCGCUGGACGCAAGGGUUUGUGUUUAGUGACUCAGAGGGAUCUGCAUUAGAGCAGUUUGAAGGUGGCCCCUGUGCUGUUAUUGCACCUGUUCAGGCAUUUCUUUUGAAGAAGCUUCUGUUUUCCUCCGAGAAGUCGUCCUGGCGGGAUUGCUCAGGGCAUUGAAAACAUAAAGAAUUCAAUUGAAGAUGCAAACGAGCCUUUGAUAGACCCUGUGUACGGGCAUGGCAGCCAAAGCUUAAUAAACCUCCUCCUGACGGGGCACGCGGUCUCUAACGUGUGGGAUGGCGAUAGAGAGUGCUCAGGAAUGCAACUUCUCGGUAUCCAUGAACAAGCAACUGUAGGAUUCUUAACACUAAUGGAAGCUUUACGCUAUUGUAAGGUUGGUUCUUACUUGAAAUCUCCAAAAUUCCCUAUUUGGAUUGUUGGCAGCGAAACUCACCUCACCGUAUUUUUUGCCAAGGAUAUGGCUUUAGUUGCCCCUGAAGCGCCUUCGGAACAAGCCAGAAGAGUUUUUCAGACCUAUGACCCAGAAGAUAAUGGAUUCAUAGCCGACACACUUCUAGAGGAUGUCAUGAAAGCCUUGGACCUUGUUUCAGAUCCCGAGUA